rnacentral:rRNA from 1 species
UACGUAGGGUCCGAGCGUUGUCCGGAGUUACUGGGCGUAAAGCGCGCGCAGGCGGCUCGGCAAGCAUGGCGUGAAAUCCCCGGGCUCAACCCGGGAACUGCGUCCGAUACUGGAAGGCUUGAAUCCGGGAGAGGGAUGCGGAAUUCCAGGUGUAGCGGUGAAAUGCGUAGAUAUCUGGAGGAACACCGGUGGCGAAGGCGGCAUCCUGGACCGGCAUUGACGCUGAGGCGCGAAAGCCAGGGGAGCAAACGGG